AGAGAGAGAGAGAGAGAGAGUAUAUCAAAUUCUUGAUAUUUCUCUCAUCGUGCGCUAAUACACAGGAUUGUUGAAUAUUAGUAAAUUUAAGCAAGCUAAUAGUUGAAAGCCUAGAGCUAUAGCAAAGUUAAGCCCACCUUAGGGCUGGGCUUACUCGCAUAUUUGGAGAUAUUUAAAAGUAAAGUGGACAGGAGUUUGAAUAGUAAGAGUUAUGCAAAGCUAAUCCAACUCAGCAACUCCUUAUAUUUGCUAGAAUGCUAGAAGGGAAGUUUCUCUAUUUUGGCUUUUGGAGAUUGGAUAUAUAAAUUGAAGGUCCCGUUAAGAUAUAAUAAUAGUAACUUGCAACAGAAGUAUGAAGUAGAAUUCUGUGUAGCAAGAAGCACAGAAGAUGUAAGAAUUAUUGGGAAUGUUAGAAAGAUGUUGAACAAAGCACAAAGCUAGCUUUAGGCCCAAAAUUCUGUAUAAUGCUUUAAAAGAUUGUUUGAUUUAUUUUCAUCUUUAACAUGAUCUGCUGUGGAAUAGCUUCUAAGGACAAUGAAUGGUGGCCUUCAUUGGAAUGCAAUUAAGAGUGAUCUGUAGUUAUUUGAAUGGUGUUUUUGUAAAUGUAACGGGGAAGUCUUGCUGGAUUAUUUGAGCAUGGAUUUGGAAAAAAGAACAGAAGGGGCAUUCUCUUAACUCUUUUUCCUAGAGUUGCUGCCAGGAGUGCAAAUGAGCAAGCAACUCGAAACUUCACUCAAUAAAAGCUUACUUAAAUUUGGUUGUCAAGAUUAGUGAGCCAAGUACUAUAAAGCUCUUAUGAUAAGCAGCUCAGUUUGAGCUCUAUGAAGUCAACUUAUUUAAACUCCUGAGACAACUUAUUUCUAGCUUCAUAAAUUCUGUGUGGAUUAAUUAGCAGUUUGAUUUUAACUUUGUUUCAUUUCAUUUAUGUAUAUGGUUUUGCAUUCAAGAUUGGAUUUAACAGCAUUCUGUACCCUAUAAAUGUCAUUCAUUGCCGUCUUAUUUUUUAUAACUAUUAAAUGUCAUAUUCAUAGUUGUGUGCACCAUCUUCAGCUAAACAGCAUGGAUUUUUUUUCCUCUAAUUAUUCUCAGCUGGAUUCUUAAUCAUUACUUCUUUGUUUAAUAGUUUUCUGAAUGUAGCAAUUUCUUUAUAGUUGGUAUGUUUGUUUCGUGGUUAUGACAGCCUCAAUAAACUGCCUCUAAAUUUU
rnacentral:misc_RNA from 1 species